UAGGGAAUAUUGCACCAUGGACGGAAGUCUGAUGCAGCAACGCCGCGUGAGUGAUGAAGGCCUUCGGGUCGUAAAACUCUUUUCAAGGGGAAGAGGAAGGACGGUACCCUUGGAAUAAGCAUCGGCUAACUACGUGCCAGCAGCCGCGGUAACACGUAGGAUGCAAGCGUUAUUCGGAUUUACUGGGCGUAAAGCGCGUGUAGGCGGUUGGGAUAGUUGGAUGUGAAAGCUCCCGGCUUAACUGGGAGAGGUCGUUCAAAACUUCCCAACUAGAGUUUGGUAGAGGAAAAUGGAAUUCCGGGUGUAGUGGUGAAAUGCGUAGAUAUCCGGAGGAACACCAGUGGCGAAAGCGAUUUUCUGGACCGAUACUGACGCUCAGACGCGAAAGCUAGGGUAGCAAACGG
rnacentral:rRNA from 2 species